rnacentral:rRNA from 1 species
GACGAACGCUGGCGGCGUGCUUAACACAUGCAAGUCGAACGAAGUGGCGAACGGGUGAGUAAUACGUGAGUAACCGCCCUACUUUUUGGGAUAAGCCUUGGAAACGGGGUCUAAUACCGAAAAAAGGGGGAUGGCCCGCGGCCUAUCAGCUUGUUGGUGGGGUGAUGGCCUACCAAGGCGGUGACGGGUAGCCGGCCUGAGAGGGUGACAGGCCAAAUUAGGCGAAGAUAGGGACCAAACGCCUACGGGAUGCAGCAGUGGGGAAUAUUGCACAAUGGGGGAAACCCUGAUGCAGCAACGCGCGUGCGGGAUGACGGCCUUCGGGUUGUAAACCGCUUUCAGCCAUGACGCGGUAGUGGCAGAAGAAGCACCGGCUAACGACGUGCCAGCAGCCGCGGUAAUAC